GGCAGACCAUCAUUAGGGCAACCCUUGGAUACCACACCAUUGGAGGGCGCAUCCCUUCGUCUUUUCUUCCGUUGCAAACCGCUCAACUUGUGAGCGAGGCUGCAAUCGACGGACUGAUUCGAGGUGGAGGCAGCGAUUCUUCGAGUCCUGCACCAGCGACCCGACGACCCGCUGAUUCGAGGUGGAGGCGGCUAAAAUCUUCCUGCAAGGGUGUGUUGCCGGGACUGUUAAUAUUGGGGUUGAACGAUGGCUGCUAAUGGUCAGCGUUCUUACAAUUUAGAAUUUUUGGCCCGUGAAUAAGAGCUUGACCAUAGACCAGUGGACUUUCAAUAUUCUUAGCAACAUCUGCACUCUGGGUGCCCGUUGUCGGGUCUAGAUCUAUCACCGGUGGAGGAGAGGAGUUCGUGCCAUCUACUAAUUCGCACCGUCACAGCUACUCAAAGGAAAUGUCUUCAUCGGAUCUUGGUGUUUCUCGAUUGCUGGUAUUGUCACCAUGUCUCAUCGAUCUUCAUCGGUCUAGGAGGGUUGCUGCACUAUAAAUGUCAUGAAUCUACUCAGACAGUCGCAGAUCUGGUGUGGAACGUCGUGUUUGGCCGCACUGUGGCGGGCCAUUGAAGCUGUAGGGACUUUGGGCACGCCAUGGAAGUAGGGAUCCGCAGCUUCGAGUUCGUUGGAGAAAGAACAACAUCGUCGCCUAAGAACAUCGUUGCUUGGUGAAGGAGCUUACUGUUCGUAGCUCACACGCUGCCACCGAUGCUGGGUGUUGCUAGAGGACGUUCAUCAUAUUUUUAUCCAUGUCGAAUUUUGUAAGUGUGUCGCAUUGAUACGAUCUUCGUAGCUUGAGUACUUUUUCUGUUUGAAUAACGUUUCUUCCACUUUUGUCGCUUGAACACUACUACUUAUGUUGUUUGGACAUUGUUUCUAUCGUCCCCACAGAUGGCGCCAAUUGUUGAUGCAGAAAUUUGGGUCUUCUGGGAUUUCGCCAAAUUCGCACCAAUUUUCUAUAAUAAAGGGAUCGACAAGACCUGCAAAAUAGAAUAGCAUUAAAGACUGAUGUGGCUCUUGCCACACAGGCUCCGAUGCUUAAGUGAGAAUCAGAGUAGUUGAGUAUGGAGUGUAGAGUGUUGUGAGCAUACCUUUAAGGUUUGACUUGCUUCCUUAUUUAUAGGAGUUGAAUCUUGAUUCCUCCAGGGAUUGUGGAAUUCGAAUCCUAAUAUUAUUUGAAUUGGGGAGAAUCUUGAGGCAAUCAAGAUAAGAGGAAUUCGAAUUGUAGAAAAUAGGGAUUUUCUCAUCCAUAACAAGUUGCCGCUUAGAAUGUUUUUCAUUUCUAUAUAUAGAUAUACUUAAAGUGAUCAAUUGUUUGAGGAUAUCUUAAGAGUUUUGAAGCGGGUGGGAUAAUCUUUAUUCACAAGAUGUCACCAUUCUUGCAGUUGAGAAAGAUGAGGAGUUGGAGAUUGUGUUUCGUGGAAGAUUUGUUCAAACACUUUUGCUUGAUCUCCUUGUUAUGAAAUUGAGUUAUUGUUGGGGUCUAUUGAGCUUGUGAGAGCGAGGUUUCGAGAAAUAAGGAUGUUGAAAAAAUUUUGGUGUACCAUCGACGUGUAUGUGGUAUUGUGAGAAGCGCUAUGGAGAAUUUUGAUUCGAAGAAUGUGACUCUUUGACCAUUUUUUGUUGGGUUAGCAGGAACUUCAUGUUUUAUGUACUACUAGAAUAGUUUGUUUAUGUACGGGAUUGAUGUACAUUUAAAUGUAGUUUGUAAUUAUAUUAUGUAUGAACACUUCGUUUAUGUAUAUAUGACUUAUUUGUUUGCAUUUCUUUA